rnacentral:lncRNA from 1 species
CAAUUCAAAAUGACUAAAUCACAACAUAUAUCUUUUAAAUGCAAAGCAUUAUUCAAUAUUCUAAUAAAUGCACGUACUAUGCUAACAGUACAUAUACCAAACUUUACCUAUGCUAACAGAAUAUAGAUUCACACCUCUAACAAAAGUCUAGGUAAUAUAUAAACCUAAAUGAAGCAAACAUCACUGUAUAAAUACACAACUAAAUUAAUGACUUUUUCUUUUUAAAAAAGUUGAUACAUAUGAUUCAUAGGAAUCGUCGACUCGAUCUAACCGAAACCAAGACAUGAAUAAAUUCAAAUCAAGAUGCUUAGAGAUUCGACAUGUCAAUUAUUUUAAUACUUG